AGAGUGGCGGACGGGUGAGUAACGCGUGGGAAUCUACCCAGUAGUGGGGGACAACUACCGGAAACGGUAGCUAAUACCGCAUACGCCCUAUGGGGGAAAGGCUUCGGCCGCUAUUGGAUGAGCCCGCGUCAGAUUAGCUAGUUGGUGGGGUAAAGGCUCACCAAGCCAACGAUCUAUAGCUGGUCUGAGAGGACGACCAGCCACACUGGAACUGAGACACGGUCCAGACUCCUACGGGAGGCAGCAGUGGGGAAUUUUGGACAAUGGGCGAAAGCCUGAUCCAGCAAUACCGCGUGCAGGAAGAAGGCCCUCGGGUUGUAAACUGCUUUUGUACGGAACGAAACGGCGCGCUCUAAUAAAGUGCGCUAAUGACGGUACCGUAAGAAUAAGCACCGGCUAACUACGUGCCAGCAGCCGCGGUAAUACGUAGGGUGCAAGCGUUAAUCGGAAUUACUGGGCGUAAAGCGUGCGCAGGCGGUUUUGUAAGACAGGCGUGAAAUCCCCGGGCUCAACCUGGGAGUUGCGCUUGUGACUGCAAGGCUAGAGUACGGUAGAGGGGGGUAGAAUUCCGCGUGUAGCAGUGAAAUGCGUAGAUAUGCGGAGGAACACCGAUGGCGAAGGCAGCCCCCUGGACCUGUACUGACGCUCAUGCACGAAAGCGUGGGGAGCAAACAGGAUUAGAUACCCUGGUAG
rnacentral:rRNA from 1 species